CUCCCCUCGUAACUUGCCCAUGGCGUUUCAGUGCUCCACCAUGAGCUCUGAGUAUACACCAGUCCUCUUGGUCUCUGGUCUAUUUCCAGAUGCUGGCAUACAUUAAGUACUUGAUGAGUAUUUGUUGAUUUAUUUUCUGUAGCCUGCUCAUCUUGGUUCCCUGUCUGCUGAGGAUGGUUUGUACACUGGAGUACUUAUUCAUCAUUGUCAUAAUCAUGCUGGAAAUCGUGGUGAUAAGUGGGACAGUUUAAAAGACCAGCAAUUUCUACAGGUGCUGUCUGCUGGGGUUCCAGCUCAGUAGCAAGAUUCUGCCUAUUGUCCCAGACUCCGAAAUCUCAGAGGAAGCUACCAUGGCCCCUGCAGAACAAGUACUACAUGGAUGCUGAAUCCUGAAAUGGUUGCUGAUAGGAUAACACAAUGAAUUUAUGUGGUAAGGGAAAGGCAAGAACCAAGGAAGCUUUUGCAGUUUUUUUCUUGAACAAUCAGAUUGAUGGCAACUCUAUUUAUCACAAUAGGGCAGAAAUGAGAGGGGAGUGGGGUUGGAUUAGACAGAGAAGCAGAUGGAGCAUUUUGCUAGGCCAUAUUCUCUUUGAGAGGAUGAUUGGACAGCUGCACGGAAAUGUCACCCGGGGAAAUGGGACACGAAAGUCUGGAAUUUAGGGAGGAAAAGGUUACUUUAAGGCAUUGAUUUGGCAGUGAUUUCUAAAACCAC
rnacentral:lncRNA from 1 species